rnacentral:rRNA from 1 species
GACAGAGGUUGCAAACGUUGUUCGGAAUUACUGGGCGUAAAGCGCGUGUAGGCUGCUUGGAAAGUCGGAUGUGAAAGCCCUGGGCUCAACCUAGGAAGUGCAUUCGAAACUUCUGAGCUGGAGUGCUGGAGAGGAAGGCGGAAUUCUCGGUGUAGAGGUGAAAUUCGUAGAUAUCGAGAGGAACACAGGCGGCGAAGGCGGCCUUCUGGACAGUGACUGACGCUGAGACGCGAAAGCGUGGGGAGCAAACAGG